rnacentral:tRNA from 1 species
AGGUAAUUAGUCUAAAAAAAACAUUUGAUUUCGACUCAAAAGCAUGUGGUGUAAAAUCCACAAUUACCUA